CCGCCCCCAAUUCAGGCAAAAGUAGUUGAAGCCGCCCCCUUUUCUCACCCUAACAUGCUGUAAUUUACAGUUUCUAAUUAUUAAGAUUUUAUUCUAGUUCACAAUGAGCAACAUCACAGUUACAGUUACAACUGGAGCCUCCACUAGGUGAGUGAGUGUCUGUUAACUUGUUUAUAUCCCUAAUAUCCGCUAGCUUUACAAAAAAAAAUCUAAUUGGAAUUCCUACAGGAAUUUUUAUUGGAAAUAAAAAUUGGCCCAAAUUUCAAUUGGAACCAAUUGGAUCGCAUUCCAAUAGGAAUUUUAGAUUUGGAAUUCCAAUAGGAAUUUAAAUCUUCCUGUUGGAAUCCAUCAAAUUUCGGACAGAAAAACUCGUUCCAAUUGUAAUCAUGCAAAGGCGCUGCUGCAGCCCGAUUUCCGGUUCUGAAAGGCCCGAUUUCAGGCAAACGGUGCAUGCAAAACAGGCUGGUCAUUUCCCAUUGUUUAACUGCCCCGGCCCGCCACACUUAAACCCGACACUCAAGUAACCACAAAGACUCACAGACGUUGCUUUGCAACAUCUGUGAAUAAAAAAUGCAUUCCAAUUGAAUUUUUUCAUAUGGGUUUUUAUGCCGACUAUCAUAAAUUAUUUUUUUCUGUUUUAAAUUAUUUUCAGUGUUGAGUGUGAUGUGGAUCAAACAUAUUAUCCUCACCUCCUUUUGAUACCUGCUGUAAGUCUUGGUUGUUUCAUUUCUUUGGCUGCGUCCAGACUGGGUGCCCGUCACUUGUUUUGGCGCCUAGUUUGAACAUGACGCUUCCGAAUGAAAUUGGGCACUGUGCUCAAGAAAGGGCACUACCUCUAGAGGUAGUACUCAACAACGGCACUGUGCUCAACAUGUUUUGUGAACCAUUUUGAACCUUGGGCACCAGUGCCGGGCACUCAGUCUGAACUGAACGAGCCCUUUGAUACUUUAACCUAGACGAUCGAGUAAAAUUGUUUGACUUUAAUGGACAAUAAAAUAAUGGUAUUUCAUUGUACUCAUGCAGUGUCCAACACCAAACGAUUUAAAUUUAAUGGAUCUGUCUAAUGCCAGAAAAUUUUACUCCUCAAAGGGAGUCUGAGGCUGGCACUCAAUAUGGAUUAAAAAUAUAAUGAAUUUUAAAGAAAACAUUUCUAGACUGCAAACAGUCUCAGUGACCUUUAAAGGAAUUUAGCUAGGAGCUGCGACUGCAGUCACAACACAUGCAUGAAAUUUAAAGUUCAGAACUCAAUCACUGGUGUUGCAUGUUCAUAACUGAGUCCUAUAAGCAAGCUUAAGCAAUUAGGCGGCAUUUUUGUCACCAUGCACCUAUGUCACCUGAAAAUUGGUGUACGUAAACUAAUUUUGGUGGCAUGUUUUGCAUCAUUAAGCGCUUGUGGAACUGGAAGCAAAAAGCUUUAAAAAUCUUAUGUUUUGUCAUACAGGUAUGUGUUGAAGAUUAAUUACUACAAACUCAGAUACAAAUAGGACGCACUGGGGCGCAAUACGGCUCAAUGGGUUAACUAGAGACAUUGUCAAUGGAUUAACUAUAGAGACACUGUUUUUGGUUAACCCAUUAAGCUGCAGACUGCUUCCCCACUGACGAGUAAAAUUGUCUCAAAUUUGCGGCUUAAUGGGUUAAGGCAAGCUCACUAUUUAAUUAAGGGACUCAAUCACCUAGCUGACUGAGUCGGCUGCUACUGCGAGCUUAAAUUAAUAGCUUAUUUCCUCCAUCUGAAGAAAAACCAUUUUAAUUAUUACUACAGUCUUUGCAUGUAUAUCAUUGAUAAGUAAAAUGGAAAAUCUAUUUUAGGGAAUAAUUAUUGCCAUAUUGGCAUUUUUACAACAAAGAAGAAGUUUUAAGAAAGAAGUUUGGGGAGGUCGACCUGGAAUUGUUGUGUGAGUAUUAAGGCCAUUUCUGUGUGAGUAUUAAGGCCAUUUUUCUUGCAACUUGCAAUGCAGUUCCACUCUUGAGAGAUGUUAAUUAGUGAAAUCAGUGAAGAAUUUUCGAUAUGUUGAGAAAACAUCAGCGGAGUGUAAUGAAGACUCGUAUUUGGCAAUUUUACAUCUCUCAAGAGUAGAAUUGCAUUGCAAGUUGCAGGAAAAAAUGCACUGUGUAACAUGGCC
rnacentral:lncRNA from 1 species